CUCAGAAGUCAGAAACCAUACCAUAUCACAUGUCUUUUGCUGAAACUUCAUAAGCCAACUGUGGUAGGGGAUGGAAUUUGCAACAGUGGUCCUCUUCUUCUUCUUCAUGAGUUCAUUCUUCCCUUCUUCACAGAAAAAAAAAAACCCUUAAGGAUUAAAUCUCAUCACUGUUUCUUUCUUCUUUAAUCACAUCUCAGUUUUAUGUGUCAGUGGUCCUCUCUCUACCUUCAACGAUUAUCCAAUGUUCUUCAUGCAUAUAUAUAAACUCCGUACUUGUUGCGUUUUCAAAUUGUUCAUGUCUCUUCACUGUUGUCUUUUUCUUGUUGCUGUUUACCGCCAUUUUCAACUUU